rnacentral:rRNA from 1 species
UACAGAGGGUGCAAGCGUUAAUCGGAGUUACUGGGCGUAAAGGGCGCGUAGGCGGAUAUUUAAGUCGAUUGUGAAAUCCCUGGGCUUAACCUAGGAAUUGCAGUCGAUACUGAAUAUCUAGAGUAUGGGAGAGGUAAGUGGAAUUCCCGGUGUAGUGGUAAAAUACGUAGAUAUCGGGAGGAACACCAGUGCGAAGGCGACUUACUGGACCAAUACUGACGCUGAGGCGCGAAAGCGUGGGGAGC